UAUAGGUUUAUUAUUGAAAUAUAUAAGUAGGUUUAUCAUGUUGUUAUACAGUUGUUCAUUUUCUUCUGAUGAUAAUGACUACCCAAUUUUGACCCAGUCCAAUCCAAUAUUUAAUGAUUAUAAAAUGUGAAUGAAUACAUAAAAAUGUAGGCUAUAUAUAAUUGUAUUUGUUUUGGAAAAUAUAUAUAUAUGGGGGGGCUCCAUAACUGAAUUCUGUCAGGGGGCCCAGAAUUCCUAGGGACGUCCCUGCAAAGAGGUAACUGACAAGGGCAGACUUGGAUCUACCAUCUCUGCAAUGUCUCUCAGUCUGAUGUCAGUUGGUGCAUUUUUGGGGCAUUCUGAGUGAUCCGCUCACUCCCUGUCCCUCGAGAGUCCCUCCUCUAAAGUGGUCCCUCUCGCCGCACUAGACUAUCCCCGGUUUCCUCUAGAGCAGGGGUUCUCAAAGUUUUGACAGCUGAGGGCCAAUUUAGCAACCCAAAAUUUGACUGAGGGCCACCAAAGGAAAAAUAAAUUGGCGGGAAACGCCGUCAGCAUCCCAGUGGUGAAAAAAAACAUUGCACCGUGGACCUCUGGGAGUGAGGUCAAGCGAGGUCUAAAUCAUGAAACUGAGGUUCAUCCUUUCAAAGUAAUGUACAGUCGGAUUAAAACUAACAAAUGUAAC
ensembl:lncRNA